rnacentral:rRNA from 1 species
UACGGAGGGUGCAAGCGUUGUUCGGAUUUACUGGGCGUAAAGGGCGCGUAGGCGGUCUUAUAAGCCAGAUGUGAAAGCCCACGGCUCAACCGUGGAAGUGCAUCUGGAACUGUGAGACUUGAGUAUGGGAGAGGAAAGUGGAAUUCCCGGUGUAGAGGUGAAAUUCGUAGAUAUCGGGAGGAAUACCGGUGGCGAAGGCGACUUUCUGGACCAAUACUGACGCUGAGGCGCGAAAGCGUGGGUAGCAAACAGG